rnacentral:tRNA from 1 species
GCCGAAGUGGCGGAACUGGCAGACGCGCAGCGCUUAGGACGCUGUCCCGCUUGGCGGGAUGGAGGUUCGAGUCCUCUCUUCGGCA